rnacentral:rRNA from 1 species
AGUGAACGCUGGCGGUAGGCCUAACACAUGCAAGUCGAACGGCAGCACAGUAAGAGCUUGCUCUUACGGGUGGCGAGUGGCGGACGGGUGAGGAAUACAUCGGAAUCUACUUUUUCGUGGGGGAUAACGUAGGGAAACUUACGCUAAUACCGCAUACGACCUACGGGUGAAAGCAGGGGAUCUUCGGACCUUGCGCGAUUGAAUGAGCCGAUGUCGGAUUAGCUAGUUGGCGGGGUAAAGGCCCACCAAGGCGACGAUCCGUAGCUGGUCUGAGAGGAUGAUCAGCCACACUGGAACUGAGACACGGUCCAGACGCCUACGGGAGGCAGCAGUGGGGAAUAUUGGACAAUGGGCGCAAGCCUGAUCCAGCCAUACCGCGUGGGUGAAGAAGGCAUUCGGGUUGUAAAGCCCUUUUGUUGGGAAAGAAAAGCAGCAGGUUAAUACCCCGCUGUUCUGACGGUACCCAAAGAAUAAGCACCGGCUAACUUCGUG